rnacentral:snRNA from 1 species
GGAUGUGAGGGCGACCUGGCUAUGACAUGUGUCACCCCAGUGAUCACCAGAGUUUAUCUGGCUGAUCUGGCUGGCUAAGCAGGUAUCCCCCUCCUCCCUCAUGUAUGUCCAUGUAUGUCCUUCCCUCUUGGUGAAGAGGACAGUCUUUCCCAAAUAGAGACUGACUAGUCUUUGGUGGAGGGUAUAGGAGUAGUUGUACUCCCCUGCUAGAGCUUUCAAACAAGCUCUCAAGAACACUGCAUUAGUUCUCCCAAUGUCAGAGAUAAGGGUUGCCUGCUUUUUUUCU